rnacentral:rRNA from 1 species
GACGAACGCUGGCGGCGUGCCUAAUACAUGCAAGUAGAACGCUGAAGCGAGGAGCUUGCUCUUCUUGGAUGAGUUGCGAACGGGUGAGUAACGCGUAGGUAACCUGCCUUGUAGCGGGGGAUAACUAUUGGAAACGAUAGCUAAUACCGCAUAACAAUAGGUGACACAUGUCAUUUAUUUGAAAGGGGCAAUUGCUCCACUACAAGAUGGACCUGCGUUGUAUUAGCUAGUAGGUGAGGUAACGGCUCACCUAGGCGACGAUACAUAGCCGACCUGAGAGGGUGAUCGGCCACACUGGGACUGAGACACGGCCCAGACUCCUACGGGAGGCAGCAGUAGGGAAUCUUCGGCAAUGGGGGCAACCCUGACCGAGCAACGCCGCGUGAGUGAAGAAGGUUUUCGGAUCGUAAAGCUCUGUUGUAAGUCAAGAACGAGUGUGAGAGUGGAAAGUUCACACUGUGACGGUAGCUUACCAGAAAGGGACGGCUAACUACGUG